GAGGAUGUAGCUCAGUAGUAGAGCGCUUGCCUGGUAUGUAUGAGACCCUGGAUUUGAUCCUCUGCAUGAUCA
rnacentral:tRNA from 1 species